AACUUUUAGCAAUGGAUCUCUUGGUUCCGGCAUCGAUGAAGAACGCAGCGAAAUGCGAUAACUAAUGUGAAUUGCAGAAUUCAGUGAAUCAUCGAGUCUUUGAACGCACAUUGCGCCCCCUGGUAUUCCGGGGGGCAUGCCUGUCCGAGCGUCAUUGCUGCCCUCAAGCACGGCUUGUGUGUUGGGCUCCGUCCCCCCGGGGACGGGCCCGAAAGGCAGCGGCGGCACCGAGUCCGGUCCUCGAGCGUAUGGGGCUUUGUCACCCGCUCUGUAGGCCCGGCCGGCGCCAGCCGACAACCCAUCAUCCUUUUCAGGUUGACCUCGGAUCAGGUAGGGAUACCCGCUGAACUUAAGCAUAUCAAUAAGCGGAGGCU
rnacentral:misc_RNA from 1 species